rnacentral:rRNA from 1 species
AGAGUUAAACAGUACGUGAAAUUGUUGAAAGGGAAACGAUUGAAGUUAGUCAUACCAACGGGAAAUCAACCUCUUGAGUUUGGUCUUGUGGGUUUCGAAGAGUUUAAAAGCCUUCAGAUUUGUGAGGAUUGGGCUCUUUUGAUGUACUUUCUCGUACGGUUAGUCAACAUCGGUUUUGAAUGUCAUAAAAUGACUGGAGGAAUGUGGCUUCGAUCUCGUAUUGAAGUGUUAUAACUUUUAGUAGAUGUGAUGUUCGAGACUGAGGAUUGCAAUGGAUACCCUUCUGGGCUAUUCGUCUGAUCUCUGAUACGUUGCCUUGGUGUCGAAAGCUUGCUUAUGAUAUUAGGGUAUUACAGUCAAAAGGUUAGAAUGGAUUAAAUUCGUUAAGAAUGUUGACGUAAUGGCUUUAAACAACC